UACAUGCCCUUCAGUGGGGAAUAGCCCAGGGAAACUUGGAUUAAUACCCCAUGGUAUCGCAAGAUUAAAGGUGGCCAGCAAUGGCUGUCGCUGAAGGAUUGGUUCGCGCCCUAUCAGCUUGUUGGUGAGGUAACGGCUCACCAAGGCUACGACGGGUACCUGGUCUGAGAGGACGAUCAGGCACACUGGAACUGAGACACGGUCCAGACACCUACGGGUGGCAGCAGUCGAGAAUAAUUCACAAUGGGGGCAACCCUGAUGGUGCAACGCCGCGUGGAU
rnacentral:rRNA from 1 species